GUGUAAAAAUUCCUGAUCUUCUUAUGUGCUAUACAGAUAGUUGAAGGUUAAUUAGCAGUAUAACUAUAAAUAGUAAUGCUGCCAGUCUCCUUCAGACAAGA
rnacentral:snoRNA from 1 species